UACGUAGGGUGCGAGCGUUGUCCGGAAUUAUUGGGCGUAAAGAGCUCGUAGGCGGUUUGUCGCGUCGACUGUGAAAUCCCGAGGCUCAACUUCGGGCUUGCAGUCGAUACGGGCAGGCUAGAGUUCGGUAGGGGAGACUGGAAUUCCGUGGUGUAGCGGUGAAAUGCGCAGAUAAUCAGGAGGAACACCGGUGGCGAAGGCGGUUCUCUGGGCAUGUCCUGACGCUGAGGAGCGAAAGUGUGGGGAGCGAACAGG
rnacentral:rRNA from 1 species